GUGGUGAGUGGACAAUUACACACAUCUCCCUGCUGAACUACUGAAAUCAGAAAGGCUGUGGUAAAUGAAUGACGUUUGAGCGAGGUGUGAAAUGUGAAGGUACAAAAUUAACUGGUGGAUCAGAAACAGAAUUGAAGCUAUUUUAUCUGGACCUAAUUAAACAACCUUCAUUACUGGCAGAGUCCAGUUAUAUCCAACUGGUAAAUUAAGCUCUGUCUGUUGAAUCAAAGGAAUACUCCUUACUGCCAGCUGCAGCUCCAGCCUGUGGAAUAGAUGUCACACCUCCUCAGUGUCACUUGAAUGGCACAUUAAAGUAAUUAAAUCCUAUGAUAAGUUUUGUCUGUUC